UAGGAAUUAUGAACUAACUUACAGGAAACUGUAAAUUCUAAUUGGACAUAUUGCAGCGGUGCCUGCAAUAAAGUUUCAUGGCCAUUUUUAAUGUAAUGCCAAAACUAUUUGAGUUUCUGCGUUUAUGCCAUAUGGCCCUCUGUGUUCUACUAGCGAAACUACCUUAAAACGAUGACAUUGCAAAGACUGUAUGUAUCUAUAGUGUAAUAAAGAACCAUAUCGGUU